rnacentral:rRNA from 1 species
CCAGACUCCUACGGGAGGCAGCAGUGGGGAAUAUUGCACAAUGGGGGAAACCCUGAUGCAGCGACGCCGCGUGGGCGAAGAAGUAUUUCGGUAUGUAAAGCCCUAUCAGCAGGGAAGAAGAAAUGACGGUACCUGAGUAAGAAGCACCGGCUAAAUACGUGCCAGCAGCCGCGGUAAUACGUAUGGUGCAAGCGUUAUCCGGAUUUACUGGGUGUAAAGGGAGCGCAGGCGGCACGGCAAGCCUGAUGUGAAAGGCCGCGGCCCAACCGCGGGACUGCAUUGGGAACUACCGGGCUGGAGUGCCGGAGAGGUAGGCGGAAUUCCUAGUGUAGCGGUGAAAUGCGUAGAUAUUAGGAGGAACACCAGUGGCGAAGGCGGCCUGCUGGACGAUGACUGACGUUGAGGCUCGAAAGCGUGGGGAGCAAACAGGAUUAGAUACCCGAGUAGA